AAGGGAGACCUAAUUCGGGUAUGGGAUGAAAAAAAGUAGUCCCUACCAAGAAUCAAUCCCAAAAGGUCGGAGCGAGGCGAAAUUGGCUUUCAAACUAGGUUCUGGGUUCAUACAAGACCUGAAUCAGGAACAAGGGCUAUUAGCUCAGGUGGUUAGAGCGCACCCCUGAUAAGGGUGAGGUCCCUGGUUCGAGUCCAGGAUGGCCCACCUGCACAGGUGGCAAAAACAAAGAAGCGAGGAAUCAGCACCUUAUCUUACUUAUAUAGUAAGAGAGAAUGCUGGCUCUGAGUUCAGAGUCCAGAGGAACCUUGAAAACUGCAUAGAGCUAGGUGAAAAAGCCAAAAAAGAAGACCGCAAGGUCAAGCUAAUAAGGGCUAACGGU
rnacentral:tRNA from 1 species